GACGAACGCUGGCGGCGCGCUUAACACAUGCAAGUCGAACGGAAAGGCCUGCUUUCCCUUGUGGAUUGCGGGUACUCGAGUGGCGAACGGGUGAGUAACACGUGAGUGAUCUGCCCCCAACUUGGGUAUAAGCCUGGGAAACUGGGUCUAAUUCCCGAUAGGACUGCAGGGAGGUGCCUGUGGUGGAAAACGAUUUUCUAGUGGUUGGGGAUGAGCUCGCGGCCUAUCAGCUUGUUGGUGGGGUAAUGGCCUACCAAGGCGGCGACGGGUAGCCGGCCUGAGAGGGUGGACGGCCACAUUGGGACUGAGAUACGGCCCAGACUCCUACGGGAGGCAGCAGUGGGGAAUAUUGCACAAUGGGCGGAAGCCUGAUGCAGCGACGCCGCGUGGGGGAUGACGGCCUUCGGGUUGUAAACUCCUUUCGACCGCGAGGAAGCCACCUGGUUGGAAGGGUGGUGACGGUAGUGGGAGAAGAAGCACCGGCUAACUACGUG
rnacentral:rRNA from 1 species